rnacentral:rRNA from 1 species
UCGAGAAUUUUUCACAAUGGGCGAAAGCCUGAUGGAGCGACGCCGCGUGGGGGAUGAAUGGCUUCGGCCCGUAAACCCCUGUCAUUUGCGAACAAACCUUUCUACCUAAUACGUGGAGAGCUGAUUGUAGCGGAAGAGGAAGGGACGGCUAACUCUGUGCCAGCAGCCGCGGUAAUACAGAGGUCCCAAGCGUUGUUCGGAUUCACUGGGCGUAAAGGGUGCGUAGGCGGUUGGGUAAGUCUGAUGUGAAAUCUCGGAGCUUAACUCCGAAACUGCAUUGGAUACUAUCCAGCUUGAGGAGUGGAAGGGAGACUGGAAUGCUCGGUGUAGCAGUGAAAUGCGUAGAUAUCGAGCGGAACACCAGUGGCGAAGGCGAGUCUCUGGACACUUCCUGACGCUGAGGCACGAAAGCCAGGGGAGCAAACGGGAUUAGAUACCCCCGUAGUCC